rnacentral:rRNA from 1 species
UUUCUUAAGUCUGAUGUGAAAGCCCCCGGCUCAACCGGGGAGGGUCAUUGGAAACUGGGAAACUUGAGUGCAGAAGAGGAGAGUGGAAUUCCAUGUGUAGCGGUGAAAUGCGUAGAUAUAUGGAGGAACACCAGUGGCGAAGGCGGCUCUCUGGUCUGUAACUGACGCUGAUGCUCGAAAGCGUGGGGAGCAAACAGGAUUAGAUACC